rnacentral:misc_RNA from 1 species
AACGCACAUUGCGCCCCUUGGUAUUCCAUGGGGCAUGCCUGUUCGAGCGUCAUUUGUACCUUCAAGCUUUGCUUGGUGUUGGGUGUUUGUCUCGCCUCUGCGUGUAGACUCGCCUCAAAACAAUUGGCAGCCGGCGUAUUGAUUUCGGAGCGCAGUACAUCUCGCGCUUUGCACUCAGAACGACGACGUCCAAAAGUACAUUUUUACACUCUUGACCUCGGAUCAGGUAGGGAUACCCGCUGAACUUAA